CCAGUCGGCUGGAUGACCGCGCAAUGACACUGGUCCUUUUGGGACCGGGGGCAUUGUGAGGAAAGUCCGGGCUCCACGGAGACACGGUGCCGGAUAACGUCCGGCGGAGGCGACUCUAGGGAAAGUGCCACAGAAAGCAAACCGCCUCACGCCCGGUAACGGGCGAAGGUAAGGGUGAAAGGGUGCGGUAAGAGCGCACCGCGCGUCCGGUAACGGAAGCGGCACGGCAAACCCCACCGGGAGCAAGACCAAAUAGGGGCAGCAGGCGCGCCUUCAUCGGCGAGCCGGUUCAUGUUUUCCGGAGCGCUGCCCGGGUUGGUCGCAUGAGGUGUGCGGUAACGUACAUCCCAGAUGAAUGGUCAUCCAGUGGCGCAGCAUGCGCCAUGGACAGAACCCGGCUUACAGGCCGGCUGGUGUC
rnacentral:RNase_P_RNA from 1 species